rnacentral:rRNA from 1 species
ACUUUAUAUAAUAAUUACUAUUUUUUAAUUAUAAGUUCAUUUAAAAUUUUAACCAAUUGUAUUACGUUGGGGCGACGAAAGCAUAUCUUAACCUGCUUAUAAAUUAACACAAUUAUUUUUGUAAUAAAUGACCCUUAAAUAAGAACAAAAGUAGAAGUU